UCUCCGUUGGUGAACCAGCGGAGGGAUCAUUAUCGAGUUUAUAACUCCCAAACCCUAUGUGAACUUACCACUUGUUGCUUCGGCGCGCGCUUCGGUGCCGCCGAGGACACUUAAACUCUUUGUUUUUAUAAGCAUUUCUGAGUGGCCGAAAGGCAAAAUACAAAUGAAUCAAAACUUUCAACAACAGAUCUCUUGGUUCUG
rnacentral:misc_RNA from 1 species